rnacentral:misc_RNA from 1 species
AGCAGCCGCGGUAAUUCCAGCUCCAAUAGCGUAUAUUAAAGUUGUUGCAGUUAAAAGCUCGUAGUUGAACUUCGGGGUUUACCCAUUGGUCAGGCUUAAUUGUCUGCACUGGUGAGAUGGAUCUCUACCUUCUGAGGAACUUUCAUGCCAUUUAUUUGGUGUGAUGGGAAAUCAG